AACAGAAAACAGAUUAAAACAGAUCAUUUAAAGCUCUGACUCGUCAUGAGCCUUUUGGAUCCAAGCAUAAAAACUAGUAGACAGGUACAGUAUAUCUAACAGGUGUUCUCUCUCAGUAGACAGGUACAGUAUAUCUAACAGGUGGUCUCUCUCAGUAGACAGGUACAGUAUAUCUAACAGGUGGUCUCUCUCAGUAGACAGGUACAGUAUAUCUAACAGGUGUUCUCUCUCAGUAGACAGGUACAGUAUAUCUAACAGGUGUUCUCUCUCAGUAGACAGGUACAGUAUAUCUAACAGGUGUUCUCUCUCAGUAGACAGGUACAGUAUAUCUAACAGGUGUUCUCUCUCAGUAGACAGGUACAGUAUAUCUAACAGGUGUUCUCUCUCAGUAGACAGGUACAGUAUAUCUAACAGGUGUUCUCUCUCAGUAGACAGGUACAGUAUAUCUAACAGGUGGUCUCUCUCUCAGUAGACAGGUACAGUAUAUCUAACAGGUGUUCUCUCUCAGUAGACAGGUACAGUAUAUCUAACAGGUGGUCUCUCUCUCAGUAGACAGGUACAGUAUAUCUUACCUGGAGUCAGUACUAGGGGUCGGACUGUCAAUAUCUCUGUUGAAAUAAUAUCAUUAUAU